AAUAGAUACCCCGGUAGUCCAUGCCGUAAACGUUGGGAACUAGAUGUGGGGACCAUUCCACGGUCUCCGUGUCGCAGCUAACGCAUUAAGUUCCCCGCCUGGGGAGUACGGCCGCAAGGCUAAAACUCAAAGGAAUUGACGGGGGCCCGCACAAGCGGCGGAGCAUGCGGAUUAAUUCGAUGCAACGCGAAGAACCUUACCAGGGCUUGACAUAUACGAGAACGCUCUAGAAAUAGAGAACUCUUUGGACACUCGUAUACAGGUGGUGCAUGGUUGUCGUCAGCUCGUGUCGUGAGAUGUUGGGUUAAGUCCCGCAACGAGCGCAACCCUCGUCGUAUGUUGCCAGCACGUAAUGGUGGGAACUCAUAUGAGACUGCCGGGGUCAACUCGGAGGAAGGUGGGGAUGAGGUCAAAUCAUCAUGCCCCUUAUGUCCUGGGCUUCACGCAUGCUACAAUGGCCGUACAAGGGCUGCAAUACCGCAAGGUGAGCGAAUCCCAAAAAGCCGGUNUCAGUUCGGA
rnacentral:rRNA from 1 species